GACGAAGGUUGCGAGCGUUGUUCGGAAUCACUGGGCUUAAAGCGCAUGUAGGCGGACCAGAAAGUAGUUUGUGAAAGCCCCCGGCUUAACCGGGGAAUCGCUUGCUAAACUACUGGUCUUGAGGCAAGUAGGGGUGCAUGGAACUCUUGGUGGAGCGGUGGAAUGCGUAGAUAUCAAGAGGAACGCCAGCGGUGAAAACGGUGCACUGGACUUGUCCUGACGCUCAGAUGCGAAAGCGUGGGGAG
rnacentral:rRNA from 1 species